CCUGGCUCAGAUUGAACGCUGGCGGCAUGCUUAAAACAUGCAAGUCGAACGGUAACAGGCCUUCGGGCGCUGACGAGUGGCGGACGGGAGAGUAAUGCGUAGGAAUCUGCCUUGUUGUGGGGGAUAACUCGGGGAAACCCGAGCUAAUACCGCAGACGCUCCACGGAGGAAAGCGGGGGUUCUUCGGACCUCGCGCAAUAAGAUGAGCCUACGUCGGAUUAGCUGGUUGGUGGGGUAAAGGCCUACCAAGGCGACGAUCCGUAGCUGGUCUGAGAUGACGAUCAGCCACACUGGGACUGAGACACGGCCCAGACUCCUACGGGAGGCAGCAGUGGGGAAUAUUGGACAAUGGGCGCAAGCCUGAUCCAGCAAUGCCGCGUGUGUUAAGAAGGCCUGCGGGUUGUAAAGCACUUUAAGCAGGAAAGAAGGGUGGGGUGUUAAUACCAUCUCACAUUGACGUUACCUGCAGAAUAAGCACCGGCUAACUCCGUGCCAGGAGCCGCGGUAAUACGGAGGGUGCGAGCGUUAAUCGGAUUUACUGGGCAUAAAGCGCGCGUAGGCGGUUUGAUAAGUCUGAUGUGAAAGCCCUGGGCUUAACCUGGGAACUGCAUUGGAGACUGUCAGGCUCGAGUGUGGUAGAGGGUAGUGGAAUUUCCCGUGUAGCAGUGAAAUGCGUAGAGAUCGGAAGGAACACCAGUGGCGAAGUCGGCUACCUGGACC
rnacentral:rRNA from 1 species